UAAACGGUGGGCGCUAGUUGUGCGAACCUUCCACGGUUUGUGCGACGCAGCUAACGCAUUAAGCGCCCCGCCUGGGGAGUACGAUCGCAAGAUUAAAACUCAAAGGAAUUGACGGGGCCCCGCACAAGCAGCGGAGCAUGCGGCUUAAUUCGACGCAACGCGAAGAACCUUACCAAGGCUUGACAUAUACAGGAAUACGGCAGAGAUGUCGUAGCCGCAAGGUCUGUAUACAGGUGGUGCAUGGUUGUCGUCAGCUCGUGUCGUGAGAUGUUGGGUUAAGUCCCGCAACGAGCGCAACCCUCGUUCUGUGUUGCCAGCAUUUAGUUGGGGACUCACAGGAGACUGCCGGGGUUAACUCGGAGGAAGGUGGGGAUGACGUCAAAUCAUCAUGCCCCUUAUGUCUUGGGCUGCACGCAUGCUACAAUGGCUGGUACAAACGGCUGCAAUACCGCAAGGUGGAGCGAAUCCGAGAAAGCCAGUCUCAGUUCGGAUUGGGGUCUGCAACUCGACCCCAUGAAGUCGGAGUUGCUAGUAAUCGUAGAUCAGCAACGCUACGGUGAAUACGUUCCCGGGGCUUGUACACACCGCCCGUCACAUCACGAAAGUCGGUAACACCCAAAAGUCAGCGGCCCAACC
rnacentral:rRNA from 1 species